UGGGGAAUAUUGCACAAUGGACGGAAGUCUGAUGCAGCAACGCCGCGUGCGGGAUGACGGCCUUCGGGUUGUAAACCGCUUUUUCUCAUGACGAAGUUUUUUGACGGGAGUGGGGGAAGAAGCACCGGCUAACUACGUGCCAGCAGCCGCGGUGAUACGUAGGGUGCGAGCGUUGUCCGGAAUUAUUGGGCGUAAAGAGCUUGUAGGCGGUUUGUCGCGUCGAUAGUGCAAACUCAGUGCUUAACGCUGAGCCUGCUGUUGAUACGGGCAGACUAGAGGAAGGUAGGGGAGAAUGGAAUUCCCGGUGGAGCGGUGGAAUGCGCAGAUAUCGGGAGGAACACCGGUGGCGAAGGCGGUUCUCUGGGCCUUUCCUGACGCUGAGAAGCGAAAGCGUGGGGAGCGAACAGG
rnacentral:rRNA from 1 species